GAUCCUGGCUCAGGAUGAACGCUAGCGGCAGGCUUAACACAUGCAAGUCGAGGGGUAUUGGUUUUCGGACCAAGAGACCGGCGCACGGGUGCGUAACGCGUAUGCAAUCUACCUUUUGCAGAGGGAUAGCCCAGAGAAAUUUGGAUUAAUACCUCAUAGUAUAGUACUUUGGCAUCAAGGAACUAUUAAAGUCACAACGGCAAAAAGAUGAGCAUGCGUCCCAUUAGCUAGUUGGUAAGGUAACGGCUUACCAAGGCUACGAUGGGUAGGGGUCCUGAGAGGGAGAUCCCCCACACUGGUACUGAGACACGGACCAGACUCCUACGGGAGGCAGCAGUGAGGAAUAUUGGACAAUGGGCGCAAGCCUGAUCCAGCCAUGCCGCGUGCAGGAUGACGGUCCUAUGGAUUGUAAACUGCUUUUAUACAGGAAGAAACACUCCGACGUGUCGGAGCUUGACGGUACUGUAAGAAUAAGGAUCGGCUAACUCCGUG
rnacentral:rRNA from 1 species